rnacentral:misc_RNA from 1 species
AUAACUCCAUAAGUGAUAUGUUAAAGUUAAAAGACGAAGGAUAUAUUACGAACCAGAGAUCGUACAUGCGUUGAGAAGACAUGUACCAAAAUAAAAGUGCACGGCAAGAAUGAAAAAAUGCGUCAGCGGGACUUCUGAAGGUAAUUCUUUUAUGAUAUUUCUUUUCAUAGUAAAAAGACAUCUGUUAAAUUAUCUGUUAAAUUUCACCCUUCGCCGAAUCGAUCGGCAGUUACGUACACAUACACCUUCCAGAGUAAUUUGUAUUGCCUAUAGACCGAUCGCAGUACUAUUUCGCAAUCGUUCCAUAUUAUACUAAAUUAAAGAAAUUUAUGCGAUCAUUUAUGCUAGAAAAAAAGUGGUGGAUUUUCUAAUCGAUAGAUGGUGAAAGAGGGGAUAAUAAAUACAUCCUUGCUCUUCGCCGUCACAUGUGUUCAAACAGUCACGACGGAAUGAUUUGUCUUGAAGUUCCGUAUUUUAGUCUCAAUGAAAUUCUUUUGCGAGCUACUGGAUUAUGGCCUUUUCAACAACAAAAACUCGCUCGAAUUCAGUUUAGUCUAUUCUUUAGUAUCUUGACAACCGCUGUCAUAUUUCAAAUAACAACAUUUGCAACUUCAAAAUGUACUUCAAAAUUUGUCGUGAAAGUUUUGUCUUCUGCAUUAUCUUGCACCAUGGUGGUGAUACAUUAUAGCUCGUUCUAUAUCAACAUCGAAACCGUGAGAAAUUUGCUGACAGAACUUCAUCAUAUAUGUGAGCAGUUAAAAGACGAAAACGAAAUUGCUAUUAUAGAAAAAUACGGCUACAAAGGAAAACGUUUCACGACAGUACUUACAGCGCUCUCUGCUAGUUUCAUAUUUGCUGUUCUUGUCAAUCAGUUUUGUCCAGGCAUUUUUGAUGUUAUUCUGUCUAUAAAUAAAUCUCGAUCACAUCACUUAUAUCUCAAGAUGGAAUAUUUUCUUGAUCAAGAAAAGUAUCUCUAUUUCAUUCUACUUCACAUAAGCCUUGCAAUUAGUAUAGCAGUAGCUGUAUUAAUAGCAAUAGGAACAAUGUUCAUUGCGUAUCUUCAACAUACUUGCGGAAUGUUUAGAAUUGCUAGUUAUCGUAUCGAAUAUGCUAUGGGAGUUGAUAUGUUACAAAAUAUUUGUUUAACAAAUGAACAUUUGGUAUACAAAGGUAUAGUUUGUGCCAUAAAUAUUCAUCGACAAGCUACAAAAUUGUCUAAGUGUUUAAUAUCUAAUUUUGAUACAACAUACUUCUUUUUGGUAAUAAUGUCAGUAAUCUCAUUAAGUCUUAAUCUUUUUCAAGUUGCAACAUUUCAAAAUGAUAUUUCGGAGAUUGUUUUACCUAUGAUAAUUAUAUUUUUUAUUAGUAUGUAUUUAUUCUUCGGCAAUUACAUGGGGCAGCAUAUAACGGAUCACAAUAAUCACGUAUUUGCAACGGUGUACAACGUUCAAUGGUACAUGUAUCCACUACAUGUACAAAAACUGAUGUUAUUUUUAUUACAAAGAGGUGGUAGAGAAUUUCAUCUAACGUGCGGUGGACUGUUCGUAGCAUCAUUCGAAUGUUUUGCCACGGUAAAAAUUAGUGAAGACCGCAGUGUCUUAUUUUACUGUCAUAUAUUCCAUGCAAUGAUCAGCAGGACAAGUGGCGAACUACAAACAAAAGUCACGAAAAAUAGGAACGACUUGAAAAUUAUUUAGAUACUGGUCCAUGAAAUUGUGUUAACAAUGACUGACAAUUAAUUUAUAAUAAUAAAAUGACUGAUAACAAUGAAGUAGAUGCGUUGGAUACAUUACAACUGAGACAACUGAUCACAUGAAAAUAAACAUAUAAAAUCCUUGUUAGAAACCACAAUACAAGCAGAAUUAAUUUUGCACAAAUUAUCAUACACAUGCGCGCCUGCG